ensembl:snRNA U6 U6 spliceosomal RNA
GUGCUCACCUCGGCAGCACAAAUACUAAAACUGGAACAAUACAGAGAAAAUUAGCAUGGCCCCUGUGCAAGGAUGGCCCACAAAUUCAUAAAGUUACAUAUAUACAU